GGACUCGUAGCUCAGCAGGUAGAGCGCCGGCUUGAAACCCCGGAGGUCGGAGGUUCGAUUCCUCCCGUUUCCACCA
rnacentral:tRNA from 4 species